ensembl:misc_RNA Metazoa_SRP Metazoan signal recognition particle RNA
GCCAGGUAUGGUGGUGCAUGCCUGUAAUCCCAGCUAUUUGGGAGGCUGAGACAGGAGAAUUGCUUGAACCUAGGAGGUGGAGGUUGCAGUGAGCCACGAUUGUGCCACUGCACUCCAGCCUGGGCAAUAGAGCGAGACCCUGUCUCAA